AUGGCACGGUGUAUGUUGAUUGAAAGUAACCUGCCAAAGAGAUUAUGGACUUAUGCUGUUAUGACUGCCGUAGUAAUUCGCAAUAGGUGUUACAACAGACGCACAAAGCAAACCCCUUAUUACAUGCUGACAGGAAAGAAGCCAGACAUGUCGAGGAUGGGGAUUUUUGGAUCAGUUUGCUACGGUUACGGACACAACAGAAAGAAGUUAGAUGCGAGAUGUGACGAAGGAGUUUUUGUGGGUUACGAUAAAAACAGUCCGUCGUAUCUAAUCUACUACCCUAAAACAGGACGAGUUCUUAGACAUAGGUUGGUCAAGUUCCUCACUAAAAGUGUAGUUGAGCACCAAACCCAGACUAUUCAGGAUGAUGACGAUGGAGAUAAUGAUUUGACUCCAGGGGACAUCUUGCAGUACCCCGCUAGAAUGGACAAAACAGGGAAUGACCAGAGAUCAAAUGAAAGUAUGAUCCUUGAACCUGAAAGUGGUAUUCAGGACAAUGGCAUAAAUGACACACAAAACUCAGACAAACAGAGUGACAGAACAGAGUCUGAACGAUAUCCUAAACGAAACAGGAGAAGGCCAGAUUACCUGAAAGACUAUGUCCAAACUGCAGAAGAUGACCAAACAUCGCUGACUGUAGAUUACUGUUACAGGGUGAUGUAUAACAUACCAAAGACAUUUGAAGAAGCUAUGCAGUCAUCGAACUCUAAGUGUUGGUCAGAUGCUAUGGAAGAUGAAAUGAGAUCUUUGAAAGACAAUAAUACGUUCACUCUAACCACGCUGCCAGAAGGUAAAAAAGCAGUGGGAGGGAGAUGGGUGUAUGUGAUAAAAGAGAACCCGAAUCGGACUAAAACAUUUAAAGCAAGAUAUGUUGCUAAAGGCUAUAGCCAAGUUCAAGGCAUUGAUUACAAAGAAACCUUUUCGCCGACUGCAGAUAUGACAUCGGUGCGUACUCUGAUGCAAUUAGCAGUACAGUACAACUUUAAACUCCAUCAAAUGGACGUGAAGACUGCUUAUUUGCACGCCCCAAUCGAUUGUGAGGUGUAUAUGCAGCAACCAGAAGGUUUUGAAGUAAAAUCAGACACAGGUGAAAAACUGGUCUGCAAACUAAACAAAUCACUAUAUGGUUUGAAACAAUCUGGCAGGAACUGGAAUAAGAUGUUACAUGACCAUUUAUGUGAAAAAGGUUACAAACAAAAUCCUGUAGACCAUUGUGUAUAUUCCAGACAGAUAGCGAGUGAGAUAGUAAUUCUUAUCAUCUGGGUUGAUGAUGUAAUCAUAGCUGCCAACAGUGAAGACGCUAUUGGAAACGUGAAACAAAUGUUGAAUGAGAAAUUUAAAAUGAAGGAUCUUGGUGAGCUCAAACAUUUCUUGGGUAUUGACUGUAUACAAGAGAACCAUGAGAUAAGACUAAACCAGACACGGUACGUCACAAAAGUCCUGGAAAGGUUCAAAAUGUCUGACUGUAAGCCACGUUUUACUCCUUGUGAACUCAAAAAUGACUUUGAUGCACAUGGUGAAUCAGUUGAUUCAGGAAAAUAUAGAGAAUUGGUGGGCAGUUUGAUUUACUUAAUGACAUGUACAAGACCAGAUUUGAGUUGGAUAGUGAGUAAACUGUCACAAUCUCUGUCUGAGCCAAAAGAGCAUCAUUGGACAGCAGCAAAACAUGUGUUACGUUACCUUAAGGGGACACUAAACAAAGAGCUGUGCUAUAAAAGGACAGAAGGAAACCUAAAUCUUAUAGCAUACAGCGAUGCAGAUUGGGCCACAGAUUUGAGUGACAGGAGAAGUACAACGGGUUAUUGUUUUGUACUAUCUGAAAAUGGGCCAGUCAUUUGCUGGAAAACCAGGAAGCAAGCUACAGUAGCUUUGUCAACGUGCAAGGCAGAGUACAUGGCGAUGGCCGCCACAGUACAAGAAAGCUUAUACCUCUCACAGCUACUUAAUGGCAUGGACAUGAAAAGGCACUAUUCACCAGUUACCGUUCUUGCAGACAAUCAAGGUGCAAUUGCAUUGUCCAAAAAUCCUAUAAACCGUCAAAGAUGUAAACACAUCGAUGUCAAGUAUCAUUUUAUUAGGUCUGCUAUAACUGAGAAGGAAGUACAAGUUAAAUAUUGUGCAACAGAAGACAUGGUAGCAGACAUCAUGACUAAGUCUGUAAGUAAAGUGAAAAUAGAUAAGUUUACGCAUAUUUUGUUUGGAACAUAA
ensembl:lncRNA